rnacentral:rRNA from 1 species
UACGUAGGGGGCAAGCGUUGUCCGGAUUUAUUGGGCGUAAAGAGCGUGUAGGCGGCUAUGCAGGUCCGCUGUGAAAACUCGAGGCUCAACCUCGAGACGUCGGUGGAAACCGUAUGGCUAGAGUCCGGAAGAGGAGAGUGGAAUUCCCGGUGUAGCGGUGAAAUGCGCAGAUAUCGGGAAGAACACCCGUGGCGAAGGCAGGUCUCUGGGCCAUAACUGACGCUGAGAAGCGAAAGCAUGGGGAGCGAACAGG